CAAUUGAGUAGUGGUGAGAACUGG
rnacentral:piRNA from 1 species